UCUCCGUUGGUGAACCAGCGGAGGGAUCAUUAUCGAGUUUAUAACUCCCAAACCCUAUGUGAACUUACCACUUGUUGCUUCGGCGCGCGCUUCGGCGCCGCCGAGGACACUUAAACUCUUUGUUUUUAUAAGCAUUUCUGAGUGGCCGAAAGGCAAAAUACAAAUGGAUCAAAACUUUCAACAACGGAUCUCUUGGUUCUG
rnacentral:misc_RNA from 1 species